UGCAAACGUAUUCUUAUUAAGCAGCGCCUAACACAGUCUACUGUCUGUUUGUAGCUUCAGCCUGGUGUCUGCACGUAACCCUGGCUUGGUGUCUUUUUAUAUGGUGACCAGUAAAUGGUGCACACAACCACGAGUCUGCUGACACGUGAUCGCAUAACAGCGAUUUGUGAGUCACACGGGGUAGCAGCAAGGACAGAAAGCUCACGUCAGGUGAGAGUGCACUGCUUCGCGUCAUCCACGUGAACGCAUUGGUACUGGAGUUGUAGGUCUAGUUCAUCUAGGCUGGCCCAAACACGAGGAUUGCCGUCGUCUGUUCGACCAGUCACUGUUUUUCCCAGGACCGAAUUUGUCUACUUGUAUCUAUUUU